UUAGUACCGCUGCAUCUGCAACCUUGAUCCGAUUAGCCGCCAAAUCCCGCAAGACGCUCAUCCGGUCGAUCUCCGUCCGGCUCAUCGCAAUCACCGUCAUCGGCCAAAUACUCCCUAGCACAAACCGCGGAGAGUGACAUCUGUAUCGGGGCCAACAGUGACUUCUCUAUCUGGCGUCUACAGCCGGGAUUCGCGUAAUGAGCGAUUAUGGAAUGCGAUGUCAUUUUCGGA
rnacentral:misc_RNA from 1 species